AACGAACGCUAGCGGCAGGCUUAACACAUGCAAGUCGAGCGCCCCGCAAGGGGAGCGGCAGACGGGUGAGUAACGCGUGGGAAUCUACCCAUCUCUACGGAAUAACGCAUGGAAACGUGUGCUAAUACCGUAUACGUCCUUCGGGAGAAAGAUUUAUCGGAGAUGGAUGAGCCCGCGUUGGAUUAGCUAGUUGGUGGGGUAAAGGCCUACCAAGGCGACGACCCAUAGCUGGUCUGAGAGGAUGAUCAGCCACACUGGGACUGAGACACGGCCCAGACUCCUACGGGAGGCAGCAGUGGGGAAUAUUGGACAAUGGGCGCAAGCCUGAUCCAGCCAUGCCGCGUGAGUGAUGGAGGCCCUAGGGUUGUAAAGCUCUUUCACCGGUGAAGAUAAUGACGGUAACCGGAGAAGAAGCCCCGGCUAACUUCGUGCCAGCAGCCGCGGUAAUACGAAGGGGGCUAGCGUUGUUCGGAUUUACUGGGCGUAAAGCGCACGUAGGC
rnacentral:rRNA from 1 species